rnacentral:sRNA from 1 species
CACCUCGCAAUCUUGCUGCAUCGGCUGGCCCUGCUGUGCACGCACAACUGAAUCAGGUUGAGCUGCCCCAUGGAGCGUGACCAGCUGCGCCUCCUCCUCCAAUAUGCCGCACGGACCAGCCGGCGGAGACAGGCGGGUAUGUGAGCAAGAAAAUUACACACAUUACUUCCUUCCGAUCCCUUCUUUACCAGGAGUGCACAUGUCCAGCUCGAGAACAUGGCCCUCAAAAGUGACAUAGUCUCCAGGAUGACGGCUCCAACAAAGAGGACAUAUGUAACAAUGACAUCUGCUCUGCUGUAACCAUUCAGCUUAUGCUGAUGAUGAUUUCCCCAGACUAGUAGUAUAUUAAACAGAAAGAAUGCAACGGUGGUGGCCAGAGACGAAAGCACUCGGAUGCAAAGGCCAUACCAAGUGUGUGUAAUCUCAGACUUGGUGUAGAAGACGUCGUGGAGGAGGGAGAGUUGCAUCUCAGCCACCUUGUACAACUCGUCCUCCCCUUGCAAUCGUGAUCCUUCAUUCAUGGGGCCACACAAAAACAGACGAGGUAAUGGCCCCUUAAACCUAUCCUUGGCAAAAUCCAACAAUAGGUGAGCAUUUAAUAGCAAGGUUUCUGCUGGAUCCAAGCGACGUAUGAAUGACUCAGGCACCAUUUGAGAAAAUCUUCUUCUCGCUAUAUCACUCUCGUACUUUCCAGUUGGGCUACUACCGGCACAUCUGAGCGCCCAGACACGCUCCCCAUACUUGGCAACACCUACCAUUAACAUGAGGAUGGUGGCUGACAGGAGAAGCAAGGUCCGGCUGUCGCCAACAAUGACUAUGGAGGACCCAUAGAUGACAUAGGCAGCUGCGGCCACCUGCACAACAAGCGUCUGCAGGUGGCGCAGCCACAGCCGGUUGUCCUCGAUGGCGUAGGCAGUGAUUUUGUCCUGCCCACCAAGGUGCAGCAGCAGGAACGGUGCCCAGAGUGCCAACAGCUCAUGCUCUGGUGACCUGCUGGUAACAGAGAGGUGGCCAAGCACGUAGAUCGCUGUCCCGUCGGCCAGCAUGUAUGCGGACCAUAUAAAGGCCCUUAGCACGCCAGAGUCAAUGUACCGGCGGAAUUCUGCCAAGAUGAGGAGUGUGACUUGGACCAUGAGGCUGAGAAGCACCAGUGCUUGGAGAGCCCAUUCUUUCCAUGCAGCGCUCACAGCCUCUGCUCCUGCCAUCGAUUUCUC